GUUGUCCGGAUUUAUUGGGCGUAAAGAGUGUGUAGGCGGUUUGGUAGGUCCGUUGUGAAAACUCGAGGCUCAACCUCGAGACGCCGAUGGAAACCAUCAGACUAGAGUCCGGAAGAGGAGAGUGGAAUUCCUGGUGUAGCGGUGAAAUGCGCAGAUAUCAGGAAGAACACCCGUGGCUAAGGCGGCUCUCUAGUACGGUACUGACGCUGAGACGCGAAAGCGUGGGGAGCGAACAGG
rnacentral:rRNA from 1 species